rnacentral:rRNA from 1 species
GACGAACACUGGCGGCGUGCUUAACACAUGCAAGUCGAGCGGUAAGGCCCUUUCGGGGGUACACGAGCGGCGAACGGGUGAGUAACACGUGGGUGACCUGCCCUCAGCUCUGGGAUAAGCCUGGGAAACCGGGUCUAAUACCGGAUAUGACUCCAUGACGCAUGUUGUGGGGUGAAAGCCUUGUGCGGCUGAGGAUGGGCCCGCGGCCUAUCAGCUUGUUGGUGGGGUGAUGGCCUACCAAGGCGACGACGGGUAGCCGGCCUGAGAGGGCGACCGGCCACACUGGGACUGAGACACGGCCCAGACUCCUACGGGAGGCAGCAGUGGGGAAUCUUGCGCAAUGGGCGAAAGCCUGACGCAGCGACGCCGCGUGAGGGAUGACGGCCU